GGGUGGCAAAUUUUGCUAUAAUAAGAAUAAUAAUAACUAGAAAAGUUACAAUUUCAGGGGAAAUUGUGUGAAGUGUUCUUGCCUCCACCAGUAGUCUAUAACUGGAGUGGGCGGAGUAACUGUUAUCAUUUAUAUAGCACAUUUAAUUGCAACGUUGUUGCACAGUUACAUUAAACCAUACAUUUCUAAAACAUUAGCAGGUGUUCAAAAGGCCCUGUCUAUGACAUCACUUUCUGCUGCAGCCUUGACAGGUCAGAGUAUUUUGGUGGUUGCCAUCUUCAAACGGUCAUAUUUUAAAAACUAUAAAUCCUACAGC
rnacentral:lncRNA from 1 species